rnacentral:rRNA from 1 species
AACUCUUAGCGGUGGAUCAGUCGGCUCAUGUGUCGAUGAUGAACGCAGCUAGUUGCGAGAACGAAUGUGAUUUGUAAAUCACAUUCGUGUCCUGCACUGAUCCGCCUAAAAACGGAGGUCUCAGGUCGGUUGAAGUGAAC